rnacentral:rRNA from 1 species
AACGAACGCUGGCGGCAUGCCUAACACAUGCAAGUCGAACGAGACCUUCGGGUCUAGUGGCGCACGGGUGCGUAACGCGUGGGAACCUGCCCUUAGGUUCGGAAUAACUCCCCGAAAGGGGUGCUAAUACCGGAUAAUGUCUUCGGACCAAAGAUUUAUCGCCUUUGGAUGGGCCCGCGUUGGAUUAGCUAGUUGGUAGGGUAAAAGCCUACCAAGGCGACGAUCCAUAGCUGGUCUGAGAGGAUGAUCAGCCACACUGGGACUGAGACACGGCCCAGACUCCUACGAGAGGCAGCAGUGGGGAAUAUUGGACAAUGGGCGAAAGCCUGAUCCAGCAAUGCCGCGUGAGUGAUGAAGGCCUUAGGGUUGUAAAGCUCUUUUACCCGGGAUGAUAAUGACAGUACCGGGAGAAUAAGCUCCGGCUAACUACGUG